rnacentral:rRNA from 1 species
AGUGUUUGAUCAUGGCUCAGGACGAACGCUGGCGGCGUGCCUAACACAUGCAAGUCGAACGAAGCUCAAAGCUCUGAGAUUUCGGUCAAGAAGCCUAGAUGACUUAGUGGCGAACGGGUGAGUAAUGCGUGAGCAACCUGCCUUUCAGAGGGGGACAACAGCUGGAAACGGCUGCUAAUACCGCAUAACACAUUUGGGUGGCAUCACCUGGAUGUCAAAGGAGCAAUCCG